CUCUACUAGGAUGAUGCACGGGAAAUGGUCGGGAUAGCU
rnacentral:tRNA from 1 species